UACGGAGGGUGCAAGCGUUGCUCGGAAUUAUUGGGCGUAAAGGGUAGGUAGGUGGUCUCAUUUGUCUGGGGCGAAAGCCUUGAGCUUAACUCAAGAAGUGCCCCAGAAACGGUGAGACUGGAGUCCUGGAGAGGGUCGUGGAAUUCCCGGUGUAGCGGUGAAAUGCGUAGAUAUCUGGAAGAACACCAAAGGCGAAGGCAGUGUCCUGGGUGGUCGCUGACGCUGAGAGGCGAAAGCCAGGGGAGCGAACGGG
rnacentral:rRNA from 1 species